UACGAAGGGGGCUAGCGUUGCUCGGAAUUACUGGGCGUAAAGGGCGCGUAGGCGGCACUGUUAGUCAGGCGUGAAAUUCCUGGGCUCAACCUGGGGACUGCGCUUGAUACGGCAGAGCUUGAGGAUGGAAGAGGGUCGCGGAAUUCCCAGUGUAGAGGUGAAAUUCGUAGAUAUUCGCAAGAACACCAGUGGCGAAGGCGGCUCACUGGCCCGGUACUGACGCUGAGGUGCGAAAGCGUGGGGAGCAAACAGG
rnacentral:rRNA from 1 species